GAUUAACGCUGGCGGCGUGCAUAACACAUGCAAGUCGAACGAUGAAACUUAGUAGACUUCUUCGGAAAGACACUAAGCGGAUUAGUGGCGACCGGGUGAGUACCGCGUGAGUAACCUGCCUUACACAAGGGGAUAGCCUUUGGAAACGAAGAAUAAUACCCUAUAAAACCAUAAAGGCACAUGCUAGAAUGGUCAAAGUGAUAGCGGUGUAAGAUGGACUUGCGUCUGAUUAGCUAGUUGGUGAGAUAAAAGCUCACCAAGGCAACGAUCAGUAGCCGGCUUGAGAGAGUGGACGGCCACAUUGGGACUGAGACACGGCCCAGACUCCUACGGGAGGCAGCAGUGGGGAAUUUUGCACAAUGGGGGAAAGCCUGAUGCAGCGACGCCGCGUGAUUUAGAAGGCCUUCGGGUUGUAAAAAGCUUUUGUAUAGGAAGAAAAUGACAGUACUAUACGAAUAAGGUCCGGCUAAUUACGUG
rnacentral:rRNA from 1 species